rnacentral:rRNA from 1 species
AGUAAUAUAUCGGAACGUGCCCAGUCGUGGGGGAUAACGUAGCGAAAGCUACGCUAAUACCGCAUACGAUCUACGGAUGAAAGCGGGGGACUCGCAAGAGCCUCGCGCGAUUGGAGCGGCCGAUAUCAGAUUAGCUAGUUGGCGGGGUAAAAGCCCACCAAGGCGACGAUCUGUAGCUGGUCUGAGAGGACGACCAGCCACACUGGAACUGAGACACGGUCCAG